GACAGUUUAGCCUAGUGUUCUAAGGCGCCAGGUUUAGGCCCUGGUCCGAAAGGGCGUGGGUUCAAAUCCCACACCUGUCA